rnacentral:misc_RNA from 1 species
GUGAAUCAUCAAAUUUUUGAACCCAAAUUGCGCCUUUUUCGGAAGGCAUGUCCGUUCGAGGGCACCAUUUAACAAAUAAUGUGCAGUGUUGUGUGUAGAUAUGACGUGCACACGUGGAUGAGCUUUCCAAGAAUUUUAAAUUCUUGGUGGCGCAUAAUGACCAGCGUGAACCUUUUUUUUCAGUUGGAGCGUAGGAAAAUCUUUGCUUGGGUUGCGAAAAGCGUAAUCGCGUAUUGGGUGUGGUCA